GAUGAACGCUGGCGGCGUGCCUAAUACAUGCAAGUCGAGCGCGUGAAAUUAAACAGAUCUCUUCGGAGUGACGUUUAAUGGAUCGAGCGGCGGAUGGGUGAGUAACACGUGGGCAACCUGCCUAUAAGACUGGGAUAACUUACGGAAACGUGAGCUAAUACCGGAUAAAACCUUUUGUCUCCUGACAAGAGGAUAAAAGAUGGCGCAAGCUAUCACUUAUAGAUGGGCCCGCGGCGCAUUAGCUAGUUGGUGAGAUAAAAGCUCACCAAGGCAACGAUGCGUAGCCGACCUGAGAGGGUGAUCGGCCACACUGGGACUGAGACACGGCCCAGACUCCUACGGGAGGCAGCAGUAGGGAAUCUUCCGCAAUGGACGAAAGUCUGACGGAGCAACGCCGCGUGAACGAAGAAGGUCUUCGGAUCGUAAAGUUCUGUUGCUAGGGAAGAACACGUACCAUUCGAAUAGGGUGGUACCUUGACGGUACCUAACGAGAAAGCCCCGGCUAACUACGUGCCAGCAGCCGCGGUAAUACGUAGGGGGCAAGCGUUGUCCGGAAUUAUUGGGCGUAAAGCGCGCGCAGGCGGUUUUUUAAGUCUGAUGUGAAAUCUUGCGGCUCAACCGCAAGCGGUCAUUGGAAACUGGAGAACUUGAGGACAGAAGAGGAGAGUGGAAUUCCACGUGUAGCGGUGAAAUGCGUAGAGAUGUGGAGGAACACCAGUGGCGAAGGCGACUCUCUGGUCUGUAACUGACGCUGAGGCGCGAAAGCGUGGGUAGCGAACAGGAUUAGAUACCCUGGUAGUCCACGCCGUAAACGAUGAGUGCUAGGUGUUAGGGGGUUUCCGCCCCUUAGUGCUGGCGUUAACGCAUUAAGCACUCCGCCUGGGGAGUACGGCCGCAAGGCUGAAACUCAAAAGAAUUG
rnacentral:rRNA from 1 species